UUUUAUGAUUUUUUUCACUGU
rnacentral:piRNA from 1 species